rnacentral:ncRNA from 1 species
GGUCACGAGUGUCAGCGUCAAGCCCUGGCUGGCUGAACGGCAACCCUCCCACGCGGCGGGGUGCUCCAGGUGAGGACCCGGCGGAGCCGAGAACGGCGCCCGCAAGCGCGAGCU